UUGCUUCGUCAAGGAGCUCCGGGACUCCU
rnacentral:sRNA from 1 species